rnacentral:rRNA from 1 species
GACGAACGCUGGCGGCGUGCCUAAUACAUGCAAGUUGAGCGCUGAAGGUUGGUACUUGUACCGACUGGAUGAGCAGCGAACGGGUGAGUAACGCGUGGGGAAUCUGCCUUUGAGCGGGGGACAACAUUUGGAAACGAAUGCUAAUACCGCAUAAAAACUUUAAACACAAGUUUUAAGUUUGAAAGAAGCAAUUGCAUCACUCAAAGAUGAUCCCGCGUUGUAUUAGCUAGUUGGUGAGGUAAAGGCUCACCAAGGCGAUGAUACAUAGCCGACCUGAGAGGGUGAUCGGCCACAUUGGGACUGAGACACGGCCCAAACUCCUACGGGAGGCAGCAGUAGGGAAUCUUCGGCAAUGGACGAAAGUCUGACCGAGCAACGCCGCGUGAGUGAAGAAGGUUUUCGGAUCGUAAAACUCUGUUGGUAGAGAAGAACGUUGGUGAGAGUGGAAAGCUCAUCAAGUGACGGUAACUACCCAGAAAGGGACGGCUAACUACGUG